rnacentral:rRNA from 1 species
UUGAGACAUAAAAAUUAAUUAUGGAUAAUUUACUUGAGUAUUACGAGUUGUGUAAUAUUGUUUUACACAGGAAUCUUAAAACUCAAAAGACUUGGCGGUAUUUUAGGUCCUUCUAGGGGAACCUGUCCUGUAAUCGAUAGUCCACGAUUUAUCUUUCCUUUUCUUGAAAAUACUCAGCUUGUAUACCGUCGUCGUCAGAUUACCUUUAAGAGUUAAAUAAGUUAUCGGGAGGAGUAGUAUCUUUAACACCUAGCUAGGCUUUAGUGGCUUAGAAUGUGUGUAAAAGGUGGUUUUCUAGAUGUCAGAUCAAGGUGCAGCUUAUGGAGAGGUAGAGAUGGGUUACAAUAAUUAUUUAUUAUCUACGGAUUUCUUAUUGAAACUAUAAGAACUAAAGGCGGACUUAGAAGUAAUUAAUAAUGGAGAAUAGAAAGCUCCGGCGAAAAUGGCGCUAAGAUGUG